CCUUCGGGAUGAUUUGUUGGAUGCUAGCGGCGGAUGGGUGAGUAACACGUGGGCAAUCUGCCCUAAAGACUGGGAUACCACUUGGAAACAGGUGCUAAUACCGGAUAACAACAUGAAUCGCAUGAUUCAAGUUUGAAAGGCGGCGCAAGCUGUCACUUUAGGAUGAGCCCGCGGCGCAUUAGCUAGUUGGUGGGGUAAAGGCCUACCAAGGCAAUGAUGCGUAGCCGAGUUGAGAGACUGAUCGGCCACAUUGGGACUGAGACACGGCCCAAACUCCUACGGGAGGCAGCAGUAGGGAAUCUUCCACAAUGGACGCAAGUCUGAUGGAGCAACGCCGCGUGAGUGAAGAAGGUUUUCGGAUCGUAAAGCUCUGUUGUUGGUGAAGAAGGAUAGAGGCAGUAACUGGUCUUUAUUUGACGGUAAUCAACCAGAAAGUCACGGCUAACUACGUGCCAGCAGCCGCGGUAAUACGUAGGUGGCAAGCGUUGUCCGGAUUUAUUGGGCGUAAAGCGAGCGCAGGCGGAAUGAUAAGUCUGAUGUGAAAGCCCACGGCUCAACCGUGGAACUGCAUCGGAAACUGUCAUUCUUGAGUGCAGAAGAGGAGAGUGGAAUUCCAUGUGUAGCGGUGGAAUGCGUAGAUAUAUGGAAGAACACCAGUGGCGAAGGCGGCUCUCUGGUCUGCAACUGACGCUGAGGCUCGAAAGCAUGGGUAGCGAACAGGAUUAGAUACCCUGGUAGUCCAUGCCGUAAACGAUGAGCGCUAGGUGUUGGGGAC
rnacentral:rRNA from 1 species